GAUGAACGCUGGCGGCGUGCCUAAUACAUGCAAGUCGAGCGAACGGACGAGAAGCUUGCUUCUCUGAUGUUAGCGGCGGACGGGUGAGUAACACGUGGAUAACCUACCUAUAAGACUGGGAUAACUUCGGGAAACCGGAGCUAAUACCGGAUAAUAUUUUGAACCGCAUGGUUCAAAAGUGAAAGACGGUCUUGCUGUCACUUAUAGAUGGAUCCGCGCUGCACUAGCUAGUUGGUAAGGUAACGGCUUACCAAGGCAACGAUGCAUAGCCGACCUGAGAGGGUGAUCGGCCACACUGGAACUGAGACACGGUCCAGACUCCUACGGGAGGCAGCAGUAGGGAAUCUUCCGCAAUGGGCGAAAGCCUGACGGAGCAACGCCGCGUGAGUGAUGAAGGUCUUCGGAUCGUAAAACUCUGUUAUUAGGGAAGAACAUAUGUGUAAGUAACUGUGCGCAUCUUGACGGUACCUAAUCAGAAAGCCACGGCUAACUACGUG
rnacentral:rRNA from 1 species